rnacentral:rRNA from 1 species
AAAAACAUGUUUUUAUGNGUGUAAUAUAUAAAGUCUGACCUGCCCAAUGAUUGUUUGAAUGGCCGCAGUAUUUUGACUGUGCAAAGGUAGCAUAAUCAAUAGUCUAUUAAUUGUAGUCUGGAAUGAAAGGUUUAACGGGGAUUAGCUUUUUUAUGAUAAGAAUGAAUUUAAAUAGUCAGUAAAAAUGCUGACGUGUAUUAGAGGGACGAGAAGACCCUAUUAAGUUUUACAUAAUAAAAUUAUAAUAGUUUAGUAAGUUUUAAUUUUUUGAUGUUUGGUUGGGGCAAUCUUGAACAUUAAAUGUUUUUUGUGAUUACUAUAUAUAAGUGAUAUUGAUCCAAUAAUAUUGAUUGUUAGAAUAAAUUACUAUAGGGAUAACAGCGUAAUAUAUCUGGAGAGUUCAUAUUGAUGGAUUAUGUUUGCGACCUCGAUGUUGAAUUAGGAUACUCUUAAGGCGCAGGAGCUUUAAUUGAGUGGUCUGUUCGACCAUUAAAUUCCUACGUGAUCUGAG